AUUGAACGCUGGCGGCAUGCCUUACACAUGCAAGUCGAACGGUAACAGGUCUUCGGAUGCUGACGAGUGGCGAACGGGUGAGUAAUACAUCGGAACGUGCCUAGUAGUGGGGGAUAACUACUCGAAAGAGUGGCUAAUACCGCAUGAGAUCUACGGAUGAAAGCAGGGGAUCGCAAGACCUUGUGCUAAUAGAGCGGCCGAUGGCAGAUUAGGUAGUUGGUGGGAUAAAAGCUUACUAAGACUACGAUCUGUAGCUGGCCUGAGAGGACGAUCAGCCACACUGGGACUGAGACACGGCCCAGACUCCUACGGGAGGCAGCAGUGGGGAAUUUUGGACAAUGGGCGCAAGCCUGAUCCAGCAAUGCCGCGUGCAGGAUGAAGGCCUUCGGGUUGUAAACUGCUUUUGUACGGAACGAAAAGCCCUGGGUUAAUACCCUGGGGUCAUGACGGUACCGUAAGAAUAAGCACCGGCUAACUACGUGCCAGCCGCCGCCGUAAAAC
rnacentral:rRNA from 1 species